rnacentral:lncRNA from 1 species
UCAACAUAAAAAUAACUACUUAUUAACUUUUCAUUGGUCAACAAACAAGAGGUUUAGCUCAUGAUGAGUUGAGUACAACUUACAAAGUUGGUUCUGAAAGGAAACAUUCUUAAACAAAAGAUGAAGCAACCUAAGAGUAACGUGAAGCUUCUUUGUGGUGGAUAACCAGAGUGAUGACUUCAGUCAUGCCAUGCUUCAGCAGUUAGCACUAGAAUAGGCGAGAAGAUGAAACUCUCUCUUCUCUCCACUCUUUCUUACAAUAAUAUUCUCAAUUAUUUUCUCUAAGAU